GAAAAUGAGAAUCAGUAGGUGCCACAACUCUUGAAAAACCGAGCAAGCAUUGAAAAAAAAAAUUAAUUAGAAAAGAGAAACAUCUGUUUGUGUAUACAAUGUGAAAAGAAAAAGAAAAAAAAUAGGAAAAUGAAAAUGAAUGCUUGCUUGGAAGAAAAAUAAUGAAAAACAAAAUUGAGUUGUGAAAUAAGAGUUGUGAAGGUUUCAAAUGAG
rnacentral:lncRNA from 1 species